GACAGUGGCGUCAGAGUCUAACUCCCGCCUGCUACAUCCUGAUCCAAAUAAGGGCAAAGAGGCGGAGCCGUGGCGGAGACGAGGCGGGACAGGGCGGGACCUUCUGCCAACGGCCGUGAAGUUCCAGACCUAGCUCAGGCUAAGAAGCUAAGCUAACAUGCUCACAGUAUUAAGCUAACAACCCAGCUUCCGGUCACUGCUCCUCGUUCCCGGCGUUCUGAAGCAUUAAGAAAAAAAGAUGGCAACCUCCUCCACAACCUUGACUGUAUGGAUAAUCGGAGACAGCUAUGUCCGGCGUGGAGCCCAGAGAGCUACAGAGACCAUCGGCAGCAACCUUGGCCUCGACCUUCGCGCC